UACGUAGGGAGCAAGCGUUGUUCGGAUUUACUGGGCGUAAAGGGCGCGUAGGCGGCAAUUCAAGUCACUUGUGAAAUCUCCGGGCUUAACUCGGAACGGUCAAGUGAUACUGCUUUGCUAGAGUGCGGAAGGGGCAAUCGGAAUUCUCGGUGUAGCGGUGAAAUGCGUAGAUAUCGAGAGGAACCCCUGAGGUGAAGACGGGUUGCUGGGCCGACACUGACGCUGACAGCGCGAAAGCCAGGGGAGCAAACGGG
rnacentral:rRNA from 1 species